GACGUAGGGCGCGAGCGUUGUCCGGAUUUAUUGGGCGUAAAGAGCUCGUAGGCGGCUUGUCGCGUCGAAUGUGAAAACUCGGGGCUCAACUCCGAGCUUGCAUUCGAUACGGGCAGGCUAGAGUUCGGUAGGGGAGACUGGAAUUCCUGGUGUAGCGGUGAAAUGCGCAGAUAUCAGGAGGAACACCGAUGGCGAAGGCAGGUCUCUGGGCCGAUACUGACGCUGAGGAGCGAAAGUGUGGGGAGCGAACAGG
rnacentral:rRNA from 1 species